rnacentral:rRNA from 1 species
GGGAUAUUGCACAAUGGGGGGAACCCUGAUGCAGCGACGCCGCGUGGGUGAAGGAGCGUUUCGGCGCGUAAAGCCCUAUCGGCAGGGAAGAAGGAGGACGGUACCUGACUAAGAAGCCCCGGCUAACUACGUGCCAGCAGCCGCGGUAAUACGUAGGGGGCAAGCGUUAUCCGGAUUUACUGGGUGUAAAGGGGGCGCAGACGGCAGCGCAAGCCAGGAGUGAAAGCCCGGGGCCCAACCCCGGGACUGCUCUUGGAACUGCGCGGCUGGAGUGCAGGAGGGGCAGGCGGAAUUCCGUGUGUAGCGGUGAAAUGCGUAGAUAUACGGAGGAACACCAGUGGCGAAGGCGGCCUGCUGGACAAUAACUGACGCUGAGGCGCGAAAGCGUGGGGAGCAAACAG